rnacentral:lncRNA from 1 species
GCUAGGAAAAUUGCUAAGUUGGCAGAUAGUUGCUUGAAGAAGAAUGCUGAAGAUAGGCCAUCAAUGAGUCAAGUAGUGGAAAAUUUGAAACAAGCAUUGGAAUGUUCAUAAAGUUAAACACUAGUUUGAACUCUCAAUUUCCUUGACCUGAGAUGGUUCCAAAUGUUGGAUUACUUAAUUAAAUUAACUAUAGAUUGGUUCCAAGAUAAAUUGAUGAAGAAUCAAAUAUAGUUAACAAGAGGAACAUAUAAACGAGUCCUAAAUCCAUGCCCAAUCAUGUACAAAGCUUAUCCAUGAAGUUUAUACAGUGAUUAACUACUAUUGAAGUUCAUGUGUGAGUGAUUAGUUUCGUAUUUGACUAAAAUGAGUUAAAUGAGUGAUACAUAAGAAGCGACUCA